AUAUCAGUAAGCGGAGGAAAAGAAAUCAACAGAGAUUGCCUUAGUAGGGGCGACUGAACAGGCAACAGCCCAGCAUUAAAAUCUCCGGCUUCUGGCCGGCGAAUUGUAAUCUGCAGAGCCAGGUUUGUGAUUGGUACUAGCAUAAGUGGCAUGGAAUGGCACACCAAAGAGGGUGAAAAUCCCGUAGUAGGCUAGGCACCAAGUAGCACUCAUGGCUUCAAAGAGUCGAACAUCUUGGGAUUGAUGUUCCAAUCGGGAGAUAGACUUCUUCCAAGGCUAAAUACAGGUGGGAGACCGAUAGCGCACAAGUA
rnacentral:rRNA from 1 species